rnacentral:rRNA from 1 species
UACGUAGGGAGCGAGCGUUGUCCGAAGUUACUGGGCGUAAAGCGCGCGUAGGCGGGCUGUUAAGUGAGAGGUGAAAGGCUGGGGCUCAACCCCAUGCAGUGCCUCUCAUACUGGCGGUCUUGAAUUCGGCAGGGAGAAGUGGAAUGGCUGGUGUAGCGGUGAAAUGCGUAGAUAUCAGUCGGAACACCGGUGGCGAAGGCGGCGACCUGGUCCUUGACUGACGCUGAGGCGCGAAAGCGUGGGGAGCAAACAGG